rnacentral:rRNA from 1 species
AUUUACAUGAGAGUUUGAUCCUGGCUCAGGACGAACGCUGGCGGCGUGCCUAAUACAUGCAAGUCGAACGGUCUUUUCUAUGGAAGCUUGCUUCCACUGAGAAGAUAGUGGCGGACGGGUGAGUAACACGUGGGUAACCUGCCCAUAAGAGGGGGAUAACAUCCGGAAACGGGUGCUAAUACCGCAUAGUUUUCUUGAUCGCAUGAUCG